rnacentral:rRNA from 1 species
GUGAGGGAUAUUGCUCAAUGGGCGAAAGCCUGAAGCAGCGACGCCGCGUGGGCGAAGAAGGUUUUCGGAUCGUAAAGCCCUUUUUCAGGUGACGAGUAAGGACGGUAGCCUGAGAAUAAGUGUCGGCUAACUACGUGCCAGCAGCCGCGGUAAAACGUAGGACGCAAGCGUUAUCCGGAGUUACUGGGCGUAAAGAGCGCGUAGGCGGGUCGGUAAGGCAUGUGUGAAAGCUCCUGGCAAAACUGGGAGAGGACGGAUGCGACUGUCGAUCUGGAGUGGGUCAGAGGAGCGUGGAAUUCCGCGUGUAGUGGUGAAAUGCGUAGAGAUGCGGAGGAACACCAGUGGCGAAGGCGGCGCUCUGGGACCCAACUGACGCUGAGGCGCGAAAGCGUGGGGAGCGAACGGGAUUAGAUACCCGAGUAGUCC